rnacentral:rRNA from 1 species
UACGUAGGGGGCAAGCGUUGUCCGGAUUUAUUGGGCGUAAAGAGCGUGUAGGCGGUUAGGUAGGUCCGUUGUGAAAACUCGAGGCUCAACCUCGAGACGCCGAUGGAAACCAUCUAACUAGAGUCCGGAAGAGGAGAGUGGAAUUCCUGGUGUAGCGGUGAAAUGCGCAGAUAUCAGGAAGAACACCCGUGGCUAAGGCGGCUCUCUAGGACGGUACUGACGCUGAGACGCGAAAGCGUGGGGAGCGAACAGG